CUUGACAAACUUAUAAGAGGUCCAGCCUGCCCAGUGACUCUGUUCAACGGCCGCGGUAUCCUAACCGUGCGAAGGUAGCGUAAUCACUUGUUCUUUAAAUGAGGACUAGUAUGAAUGGCACCACGAAGGUUAUACUGUCUCCUUUUUCUAAUCAGUGAAACUAAUCUUCCCGUGAAGAAACGGGAAUAAAAAUAUAAGACGAGAAGACCCUAUGGAGCUUUAAACAAAUAUACACCUGCCUCUUUACCAAAAAUUUCAGAAGACAAGUAAUUACCCGGGCAUUUUGAUGUAGCGUUUUAGGUUGGGGUGACCGCGGAGCAAAAAACAACCUCCGCAGCGAACGGGAGUAUUCCCUAAACCAAGGGCCACAACCCCAAGUAUUGAUAAAUCAACACUAAUUGACCCA
rnacentral:rRNA from 1 species